ensembl:lncRNA
CACUGGUUCAAAAUAAAUAGGGAGGUAUAUUGGAUGUCUAAUAAUGUAUUCAAAUAUAAUUUACCAAACACUGUUACCCAAGUGAAACAUUCAUUUCCAACUUUUCAUUAAUUCUGAAAUGACAGCUCCCGUGUGUUUGCUAAGUGAUAUUUUUUUAUUAUGAUUAUGCAGUACUGUGUAUCUUAUACCCCCCUCCCCAAACGAAACGCUACAGAACAAAUAACGCAACCGGUCGAGUUUGUUGUUGUUGUCUGUAGCGGUGUCAUUAAAAUAUUGCAUCAAGUGCGUCGUGGACGUCGGAAGUCAGAAGUUAUUUAUUGGCGAUAGCGUCCGCAACACAAAUAUAACUUUGUCUUUGUGUGGCAGUUGUGGGCUGACGUCACAUUGGCUCCUUGAAGUGGAGCUGAAUAAACCUUGAGAGGAGUCUGCUUCAAUCUGCUGUUAGUAACUAACACACACACACAUACACACACACACACACACACACACACACACACACACACACACACUCACACGGAGACUCAAUUACUGGCCAAUACCCUUCUUUAUCAUCCCUUACCGUCCUCUUUCAUUACGAAUCCGAGCAGCAAAAGAGGCGAGAAGGUCACUCCAAGUGUUACUUGAACUAAAAAAUCGGACUUGGGAAUAAGUAAAGUGUCGAAACUAAAAGGUUUUGCAGCAGUAAUGUCCAGGACUUGAAGACAUCUCUAACAAUAUGGAGUCUGGAGAACGGCUGUCUUCCCCUGCGCCCACCCUGUCUGCUGCUCGAACCUCCUCCCCCGCCACCUCCUCCUCCUCGUCCUCCUCCCCCCCGGCUCCACACCCUAAGACCAGCCUGGCCUCCAGCGGACCCCCGGCGCUGGGCUCCACCCUCAGCAACUCUGGUAAGGCACCUGUCUGCGUCUGUCUCCUCGUCAUGUCGGAUCCAGCGGUCCUACUGCGUUGCAUUAGAUUCUCUGAUCCAUCAGUCCUAGGCCAAAUCCCAUUUCUACCCCU